ACCCUCCGUGGCCUCCAAGUGAACCUGCUAGCAGAUGACUGACGUCUUCAAAACCUGCAAUCAACUGACAGGUUUAAAGAGAUGAAAGAAUACAUAAGGAUACAUCCCUGGUCCUGGGACCCAGAACCAGGGAGCAGACCUGCUGUCGAGACGGGGGCUGAGGCCCGGGGAAUGGAGACUCCACCCCCAGGUGUUGGAGUUAUUAUGCGACAGUGCAAAGGUGAACCAGACACUGUUGACACUCCUCACUGUGUACACUGACCUGGUGCAGUCCGCUUCAGCCGAAGUGAAAGGUGGCUGUGGAUAGAUUUGUCGAUUUCUCUGAGGGUGGUGAUGGUACAGUGGAUAAGACGCAUGCCUUUUGUGUGAGAGACCCGGGUUUAAUUCCCCAUUGUGACACAUCCACCAAUGUGUCUCUGAGCAGAACACUUUAGCCCUAGUUCCUUCAGGGGCGUGCGACCUCUUACACAUAUAGUUAUUGUAAGUAUGUUUGACUAAAAGCAUCAGUUAAAUGUUAAUGUAACUUAUGUACAAACUCCUGAAAGCACUUCUGAACUGGCCGUUCAGGCCAGCUGUGAAGAGGUCCACAAGAUGAGGGAGGCACUCACUCACUCACUCACUCACUCACUCACUCACUGGGUGACAUCACUUAUUAUUCUCUAUACUAAUUAUUUGUAAAUGUACCUGCUUUGCGCCUGCCUCGACUUCUCCCUGUACUCAAUCACACACACACACCUUUACCUCUGGUCUCUCAUUGAAAAUACACAGUCUUUCCCCGCCUCUCUGUCUGCUCCCCUGAGUUUAUCCAUCAGCAGUAGGAUAUGUUUUAUAAAGUCA